GGCCGGUUAGCUCAGUUGGUUAGAGCUCGGUGCUCUUAACAACAAGGUUGCCAGUUCGAACCUGGCAUGGGCCA